rnacentral:rRNA from 1 species
UACAGAGGUCCCGAGCGUUGUUCGGAUUCACUGGGCGUAAAGGGUGCGUAGGUGGCGUGGUAAGUUUGAUGUGAAAGCUCAGGGCUCAACCCUGAAAUGGCAUUGAAUACUACUGUGCUGGAGGUUUGGAGGGGGGACUGGAAUUCUUGGUGUAGCAGUGAAAUGCGUAGAUAUCAAGAGGAACACCAGUGGCGAAGGCGAGUCCCUGGACAACACCUGACACUGAGGCACGAAAGCCGGGGGAGCAAACAGGAUUAGAAACCCCCGUAGUCC